rnacentral:rRNA from 1 species
AACGAACGCUGGCGGCGUGCCCAAUACAUGCAAGUCGAACGAGAUAGUACCUUCGGGUAUGUGUAAAGUGGCAAACGGGUGAGUAAUACUUAGGUAACCUACCUUCUUGAUGGGGAUAACCUUCCGAAAGGAGGGCUAAUACCGAAUGAGACCACAGGGACUCUGGUCCAAGGGUUAAAGAUGGCCUCUAUUUAUAAGCUAUCGCAAGAAGAUGGGCUUAAGCACCAUUAGCUAGUUGGUAAGGUAACGGCUUACCAAGGCUUCGACGGUUAACUGAUCUGAGAGGUUGAUCAGUCACACUGGAACUGAGACACGGUCCAGACUCCUACGGGAGGCAGCAGUAGGGAAUAUUGCGCAAUGGAGGAAACUCUGACGCAGCGACGCCGCGUGGGCGAUG